rnacentral:rRNA from 1 species
AACGGCCGCGGUAUCCUAACCGUGCGAAGGUAGCGUAAUCACUUGUUCUUUAAAUGAGGACUAGUAUGAAUGGCACCACGAGGGUUAAGCUGUCUCCUUUUUCUAAUCAGUGAAACUAAUCUCCCCGUGAAGAAGCGGGGAUCAUAUUACAAGACGAGAAGACCCUAUGGAGCUUAAAACAAAUUAACACCUGCUUCUGCCUAAUUUACUUCAUGAACUAACGCACAAAGUAUAGCAUCACUGAUUAAUAGUUUUCGAUUGGGGUGAUCAUGGAGUAAAAAAUAGCCUCCACGACGAAAAGGAACACUUCCCUGAGCCAAAAGCUACAACUUUAAGCACUAAAAAAUUGACGCACCUUGACCCAAAUUUUUGAGCAACGAACCAAGUUACCCUAGGGAUAACAGCGCAAUCCACUUCAAGAGCCCCUAUCGACAAGUGGGUUUACGACCUCGAUGUUGGAUCAGGGUGUCCCAGUGGUGCAGCCGCUACUAAAGGUUCGUUUGUUCAACGAUUAAAACCCUACGUGAUCUGAGUUCAGACCGGAGAAAUCCAGGUCAGUUUCUAUCUAUAAAGGGCUUUUUCCAGUACGAAAGGACCGAAAAAGCAUGGCCAAUGACCAAUUAAGCCAUAUAAAUUACCAAUGUUUUCAACUUAAUUAGAAACAAACCUUCCACAAGCCUCAAAAAAAGAGAAGUUAACGUAGCAAAACCUGGCCCUGCAA